UGCAAGUCGAACGGUACAUUUCCAGCUUGCUGGAAGAUGACGAGUGGCGGACGGGUGAGUAAUGCUUGGGAACUUGCCUUUGCGAGGGGGAUAACAGUUGGAAACGACUGCUAAUACCGCAUAAUGUCUCCGGACCAAACGGGGCUUAGGCUCCGGCGCAAAGAGAGGCCCAAGUGAGAUUAGCUAGUUGGUAAGGUAACGGCUUACCAAGGCGACGAUCUCUAGCUGUUCUGAGAGGAAGAUCAGCCACACUGGGACUGAGACACGGCCCAGACUCCUACGGGAGGCAGCAGUGGGGAAUAUUGCACAAUGGGGGAAACCCAGAUGCAGCCAUGCCGCGUGUGUGAAGAAGGCCUUCGGGUUGUAAAGCACUUUCAGUUGUGAGGAAAAGCUAGUAGUUAAUACCUGCUAGCCGUGACGUUAACAACAGAAGAAGCACCGGCUAACUCCGUGCCAGCAGCCGCGGUAAUACGGAGGGUGCGAGCGUUAAUCGGAAUUACUGGGCGUAAAGCGCACGCAGGCGGUUUGUUAAGCUAUAUGUGAAAGCCCCGGGCUCA
rnacentral:rRNA from 1 species